UUUCCGUAGGUGAACCUGCGGAAGGAUCAUUCAUAAUAAAGUGUUUUAUGGCACUUUUUAAAAAUCCAUAUCCACCUUGUGUGCAAUGUUAGAUCUCGUCAAUCUUGGCGAGGCUUUUAUACAUCAACUCAUUCUUUAACUAAUUUGUCUGAAAAAUAUUAUGAAUACUUAAUUCAAAAUACAACUUUCAACAACGGAUCUCUUGGCUCUC
rnacentral:misc_RNA from 1 species